rnacentral:rRNA from 1 species
GAUGAACGCUGGCGGCGUGCCUAAUACAUGCAAGUCGAGCGAACAGUCGAGGAGCUUGCUCCUCUGACGUUAGCGGCGGACGGGUGAGUAACACGUGGAUAACCUACCUAUAAGACUGGGAUAACUUCGGGAAACCGGAGCUAAUACCGGAUAAUAUAUUGAACCGCAUGGUUCAAUAGUGAAAGACGGUUUUGCUGUCACUUAUAGAUGGAUCCGCGCCGCAUUAGCUAGUUGGUAAGGUAACGGCUUACCAAGGCAACGAUGCGUAGCCGACCUGAGAGGGUGAUCGGCCACACUGGAACUGAGACACGGUCCAGACUCCUACGGGAGGCAGCAGUAGGGAAUCUUCCGCAAUGGGCGAAAGCCUGACGGAGCAACGCCGCGUGAGUGAGGAAGGUCUUCGGAUCGUAAAACUCUGUUAUUAGGGAAGAACAAAUGUGUAAGUAACGAUGCACGUCUUGACGGUACCUAAUCAGAAAGCCACGGCUAACUACGUGC